GGUUUCUUGUUAUGAUAUUUAAGAAAUUUAACCUGCCCACUGAAUAUUUUAAAGGGCCGCAGUAUUUUGACUGUGCAAAGGUAGCAUAAUCAUUAGUCUUUUAAUUAAGGGCUAGAAUGAAUGGUUGGACGAGGUAAAUUCUGUUUUAUAUUAAUUAAAUUUGAAUUUAAUUUUUAAGUAAAAAAACUUAAAUAUUUUUAAGGGACGAGAAGACCCUAUAGAGUUUAAUAAAUGUAGUAAUUAAUUGAGUUAUGGCUUGAUUUUUGAUUAUUAUGAAAUUUAUUUAAUUGGGGUGAUUAAAGUAUAAAUAAAACUCUUUUUAAUUUUUAAUAGUAUAUUUAGUUAAGUGAUCCAUAUUUAAUGAUUAAAAGAUUAAAUUACCUUAGGGAUAACAGCAUAAUUUUUUUUGAGAGUUCAUAUUGAAAAAGAAGAUUGUGACCUCGAUGUUGGAUUAAGAUUAGUUUUGGGUGUAGAUGUUUAAUAGCUAGGUCUGUUCGACCUUUAAAAUCUUACA
rnacentral:rRNA from 1 species